ensembl:lncRNA novel transcript
CAGAAUCUCUCUCUGCUGCCCAGGCUGGAGUGCAGUGGGAUGAUCUCGGCUCAUUGAAACCUCCACCUCCAGGUUCAAGCGAUACUCCUGCCUCAGGCUCCCGAGUAGCUGGGACUACAAGUGUGCACCACGAUGCCCAGAUGGAGUCUUGCUCUGUCGCCCAGGCUGGAAAGCAAUGGCGCUAUCUUGGCUCACUGCAACCUCCGUCUCCUGGGUUCAAUUGAUUCCUCUGCCUCAGCCUCCCAAAUAGCUGGAAUUACAGGACACUCAGAAAAAAAAUGAAAUUAUGAGAAUUGUUUUCUCAAAUCCUUUUCUACUGCAACCUUCCCACCAUUACGAGCAUAAUGAAACUCAAAUGUGAGUCCAAGGAAUUAUUAUCUUCAUUUUUCUACUGAGGAGAACUAUCAAGACUUCUAAUCACAUGGAAUAACUCAUUCAGGAAAUGAGGCUGGGUUGCUGAUGAUGGAAUGAGGGAGUUGGAGGGAUUAGAAAUGACGUAUCCAGAAUAGACAAUGGAAUCGGUGACAGACUUCCACUAGUGGCAGCAACCUGUGCCUCACUCCUGCACAAAUCCAAAAGGGUUUUUGAGGCAUUUGAUGGCAUGUGCCUGUGAAACAAGUAGAUAUUCUGUCUUGGGAGCUUGAGAAAAGGCCAGUAGCACUGUUCUAGUAGCCUAAAGGCAAACACACAUUUAAAUAGUGGUGGGGUUAGUAGGCAUGGGAUGAUGAGUAAUGAGCAGCUCAGAAAUGGUCACUUUAAAGAUCAAAGGUCAUAUGCCCACAUUUUCUGAAAUCAUGCCAUUUGGAAUCAUCUUACAUCCCUAAGAAUAAAAAUGUUCCUACCAAAAUCAUUUAGAAGAAGUUUUCUCUGACAACUCACCCUGUUAAAGGUCAACAUGAGAUUUU